rnacentral:rRNA from 1 species
GAGUUUGAUCAUGGCUCAGGAUUAACGCUGGCGGCAUGCCUAAUACAUGCAAGUCGAACGGAGUAGCAAUACUUAGUGGCGAACGGGUGAGUAACACGUAUCUAAUCUACCAUUUAGUGGGGAAUAACUGUUGGAAACGACAGCUAAUACCGCAUAAUAUUGCUGGAUAAUUUCCAGUAAUGAAAGGAGCUUUCAAGCUCCGCUGAUUGAUGAGGAUGCGGCGCAUUAGCUAGUUGGUAGGGUAAUGGCCUACCAAGGCAAUGAUGCGUAGCCGAUCUGAGAGGAUGAACGGCCACAUUGGGACUGAGACACGGCCCAAACUUCUACGGAAGGCAGCAGUAGGGAAUUUUUCACAAUGGGCGAAAGCCUGAUGGAGCAAUGCCGCGUGACUGAUGAAGGUCUUCGGAUUGUAAAGGUCUGUUGUAAGGGAAGAAAUGGUAAAACAGGAAAUGGUUUUAUCUAUGACGGUACCUUACCAGA